UGGGGAAUAUUGCACAAUGGGCGAAAGCCUGAUGCAGCAACGCCGCGUGAGUGAUGAAGGUCUUCGGAUUGUAAAGCUCUGUCUUUUGGGACGAUAAUGACGGUACCAAAGGAGGAAGCCACGGCUAACUACGUGCCAGCAGCCGCGGUAAUACGUAGGUGGCGAGCGUUGUCCGGAUUUACUGGGCGUAAAGGGUGCGUAGGCGGAUGUUUAAGUGAGAUGUGAAAUACCCGGGCUUAACUUGGGUGCUGCAUUUCAAACUGGAUAUCUAGAGUGCAGGAGAGGAGAAUGGAAUUCCUAGUGUAGCGGUGAAAUGCGUAGAGAUUAGGAAGAACACCAGUGGCGAAGGCGAUUCUCUGGACUGUAACUGACGCUGAGGCACGAAAGCGUGGGUAGCAAACAGGAUUAGAUACCCUGGUAGUCCACGC
rnacentral:rRNA from 1 species